UAGAGGAAGUAAAAGUCGUAACAAGGUUUCCGUAGAACAAGUCUUGCAGGAAUGAUUCCUUCCGCAGUGUACACUUGUAGAAGCCUUUGCAGCCACGCAAGUGGUAGAUCUAAGCGACUUUAAAUAAUUCCAAGAUCGCUAUGCAAGUCGGCCCACGCAUGUGGUGCCGGCGACACUUUCGAAUUGACGGGGACGCCCUAAAGCCUGUCGCACCAACUCUGUGCGGGAAACCGCUGGAGGGCCCGUGCUAACCACACGGGAUGGUAACAGAUGACAUGGAUAUUUUCACGCCUUUGUGGAUACUAUGGGCAAUCCGCAGCGAAGCCUCUAAGUCCGGCCGCCGGAUAUGAGGAACGUUCACAGACUAAGUGGAAGUGGGUGGAGCGUUUGCCGCUCUGCUUAAGAUAUAGUCGGUCCCUUUGGGAAACCAAGGGGGUGAGUACACUGCUUGAAAUUUAAACACGAACGUGCGUAGUUAAGGUACGCUUUUCUCUCCCCGGUCUCGGAGAGCGCUCAUGUUAAAAUUUCGAGACUGUCAGUUUCACAGCUCUCAAAAUGUUCCGUAGGUGAACCUGCGGAAGGAUCAUUAUAGAAAGUAAACGCGGGUCAAACCGCGAACUUUUAAACCUUUGACGAUUGACUCAUGUUGCCUCGGCGGGCUCGCCCGCCAGAGGAUACAUCAAAACUCUUGUUUUAACGGUGUUGUCUGAGCUACAAGCAACGAAUCAAAACUUUCAACAACGGAUCUCUUGGUUCUGGCAUCGAUGAAGAACGCAGCGAAAUGCGAUAAGUAGUGUGAAUUGCAGAAUUCAGUGAAUCAUCGAAUCUUUGAACGCACAUUGCGCCCCUUGGUAUCCCGAGGGGCAUGCCUGUUCGAGCGUCAUUUCACCACUCAAGCCUGGCUUGGUGUUGGGCGACGUCCCCUUUGGGGACGCGCCUCGAAACGCUCGGCGGCGUGGCACCGGCUUUAAGCGUAGCAGAAUCUUUCGCUUCGAAAGUCGGGGCCCCGUUUGCCGGAAGACCUACUCGCAAGGUUGACCUCGGAUCAGGCAGGGAUACCCGCUGAACUUAAGCAUAUCAAUAAGCGGAGGAA
rnacentral:misc_RNA from 1 species